rnacentral:lncRNA from 1 species
UUAGAAAGAGAAAAGUCCUUCUCAUGUUUUAGGCACUUUCCUAAAAUGACUUUAAAAAAGAAUGUGAAAAAGUCUCAUUAUUUUUCUCUUAUUUCCUAAACUUUUUUAUUCUCUCUGUAUUUCCUGCUAGGUAAAAUCAUCAGUUCCAGCCAAUGAAUAUGGCAUCUUUAGUGUGACCAUUUGCAAGUAUGCUCAUGGGCAAGCAACAUUUUCUGAGCUGAUGGAAGUACUGAAGCAAGUUUUUCCGUAUGAAAAUAAAGAAUUACGCCCAUUAUUUAAAAAAUUCAAACCUUUUUUGAAGACGGAACAUUUGAAACUGUUUGAAGAAGAGGUAUCAUCUUACCAAAUUCAUUUAAAGUUCCUUCCAUUUCUAUCAAUGAAUCAUCUUAGUAUUUGUUUAUUUUCUUUUUCUUGAUGCAUCUGUAAAUUUUAAUGCCAGCUCUAGGUUCAAAGACUUCAGAAAGAACUUGAGAAAAAAGAAUUUUAAAGAAUCAAUAUUGCAAGUAGGUUCAUUUUAAACGUGAACGCUAUUAUCUUAUUAGACAAUUUAUCAUUUCAAAUGAAUGUGUUGGGCUCAACCCUUCAUCAAUUAAAGUUUUUAAAAAUAGAUGUUUUUUAACUGGAUGAUCAAGUGAGAAGGAAUGGAAUCCUCCUUUUCAUUUAUUUUCAAUAUCAGUGCAUUGCGACUACAUGUUUCUAGCAUAUUAUGCUUGUUUUUUAAUUAGUAGCUACAAUUAUGAGAUCACCCAUAUCUUUUGGGAAAUUAAUAGCUUAUAAAUUGUUUCUGUGAUAGGUGGGAAACAUGGAAACAUUCAUUCAUAUUUUAUAAUAACUAUCCAAAUUGUGAUGAAAUAUCUCAGAAAUUCUGUUCUAAAAAUGUACUCUGGCAGUUUUAAAAAUCAGCUGCUCUCACAACUGUACUAACUCUCCUAUGAAUGAAGAGCCCAUGAGUUCAAUUUUCUAAAUGUGUGAUAGUAUUAGCGAACUUGUAACUAUGAGUAAAUUCUGGUCUUCCAGACUUUCAUACAUUUUUUUAGUUGCAAGAUGACACAGUUUUUUUCAGGUGAAGUUAAAAGUUGAAAUUGAGUGAAAUUACUUAUGAAGUUGGAUUCUUUUUAUAUGGUUUUUAGGCUUUAUCUGAGAGAUACUGCGGCCUUGGAUAUGAGCUGCGAAUAAUUAGAGGGUGAGAAAGUUGGAUUAAAACGUAAAUUUCCCUAUGCUACAGUUUUGUUAGUUUCCAACCAAUUUUAAAUCCUCUUUGAUAAGAGGUAGCUGAAAUCUUCUCAAACAUGUUGGUAUGACUGCGAUUUUCGCCAGACCUAAAUUAGCUGAUUGAUGCAUUAAAGGUGUUUAGGAUAGUGACUGACUAAAAUGGAGCUUACUUUUAGCCUCGUUUCGUUUCUUACUCUUUUGAGUUUUCCAUUUGUCAAUCAUGCAUGUUCAUCCUUUUCAUCUAAAAUUUAACCCAUUUUAAGUUGCGAAUGUACUGGAAGACUUUUAUUGCUAACAAGACUGUGUAAAGUCAUCGUAAGAUCUGAUCGCCUAUGAAAAGAGUGGACAUUCAAAAUGUAUCG